UCUUCAUUUCACACGCUCUCUCGUCGACCGAGGUGGCGAGAGAGUGUGCAAAAAUGAAGAGA
rnacentral:pre_miRNA from 1 species